rnacentral:rRNA from 1 species
UACAGAGGGGGCAAGCGUUGUUCGGAAUUACUGGGCGUAAAGGGCGCGUAGGCGGCCUUCUAAGUCGAACGUGAAAUCCCUGGGCUCAACCCAGGAACUGCGUCCGAUACUGGUUGGCUUGAAUCCGGGAGAGGGAUGUGGAAUUCCAGGUGUAGCGGUGAAAUGCGUAGAUAUCUGGAGGAACACCGGUGGCGAAAGCGACAUCCUGGACCGGUAUUGACGCUGAGGCGCGAAAGCCAGGGGAGCAAACGGG